AUUGAACGCUGGCGGCAUGCCUUACACAUGCAAGUCGAACGGUAACAGGUCUUCGGAUGCUGACGAAUGGCGAACGGGUGAGUAAUACAUCGGAACGUGCCUAGUAGUGGGGGAUAACUACUCGAAAGAGUGGCUAAUACCGCAUGAGAUCUACGGAUGAAAGCAGGGGAUCGCAAGACCUUGUGCUACUAGAGCGGCCGAUGGCAGAUUAGGUAGUUGGUGGGAUAAAAGCUUACCAAGCCGACGAUCUGUAGCUGGUCUGAGAGGACGAUCAGCCAACCUGGGACUGAGACACGGCCCAGACUCCUACGGGAGGCAGCAGUGGGGAAUUUUGGACAAUGGGCGCAAGCCUGAUCCAGCAAUGCCGCGUGCAGGAUGAAGGCCUUCGGGUUGUAAACUGCUUUUGUACGGAACGAAAAGCCCUGGGUUAAUACCCUGGGGUCAUGACGGUACCGUAAGAAUAAGCACCGGCUAACUACGUGCCAGCCGCCGCGGUAACAC
rnacentral:rRNA from 1 species